CAUCUCUCUGAGUAUGUUUCUCUACUUCCAAAGUAAAGUCAAAUUGAAUUGAUCUCUGAAGUCUUUUCCUAGCCUUGAUGUUCUGUGGUUUUAGUGCUAAUGAUAUAUUGUGUCUUGAGAGACAGAAGAGCCAUACAUUUUUUAAUGGCAUUAGAUCUAAUGUGGAAUUUAUGUCAGCAGUCUCUAAAGUCUUUAAGUAAUCCAAAAGUUCAGUACAAAAUAGUUUUAUCUCCAUUUACGACAUCAUUUUUAUGCCUUCUAUCUCAAUUCAAGAUAUUGUUUAAAAAUUAUUAUUCAAUUGAAUGCUUUCUCAUUUACAUAAUUAAUUGUAUUUCAACAAUACUUUUUAAAGAUAUUUUAAAAUGCAAAAUAAGGUAUUAGAUAUGCAUUAUGGUUAAUAAACUCUGUGAACCAACCUAAAUUUCUGAUGAUACAUUGAUUUGUGGAUAAAAACAGAUACUGAAUUUGGAAGUGAACAUUUGGAAGGCCAACACUUUGCAAGCUGGAGACUUCCUGUAAUGUUAAUUUCAGGAAAUCCUAGGCAAAUAUAUAGUUAUAACUCUAGAAAAUAUAUGAAUGGUGUGUACUGUGAUGGAAAUUAAAAUGUCACUGCUAAAAGAUUUGCAUUUUGUGGGCUUGGGGGGGCCUAAAACUUCCUUCUUGGUCUUUGUUUUCUGCAAUAGCAGUAUCAUUCAUUUUCAUACUCUUGAAGAAAAGCAGAUAAGAUUAAAGUCAUGGUGUGGAGAAAAUUUUGACAAAUGCUUUGCAAAAUAAUAAAGAGAACUUAAAGAGCAGUGACUUCUUUGACUGAGUAUAAGAUGAGCCAUAGUUAUAUAUUCCAGUUUGAAUUCUUCAUAGGGAGUUGUCUUUAUUUUCCUUUAAUGUAAAAUAUUGGGGUUUUACUUCUCUAAAAAAUAUUAAAGUGUCCCAGUCUUGAGUGAAGUUAUGAGAGGGCUCAUCUUUCUUUGUAAUACACCUGAAAACAUCUUCACUCUCUAACACCUUGCCUGACCUUUCUACUAGGAUUCAGCAUUUCCCCUAGGUGGUUGGCUAGCUAUUAUAUGUGAGUUUUAAAAUGUCCUUUUUAAAAGGUUUCAUUUUGCGUGCGUUUAACUCUUUGUUAAAUAGCUGUUUGGCGUCUUUUCUGCAUUUUCCCCCUCUUUAAUGAUAGGGAUUUUUUUUCUUUUGUCAGUUUCAUUUUCACUCUGGUUUUUAAUGAAAGACUCAGCAAAAUAGAGUCUCAGCAGAUAAGCACUUUUUGAUUGAUGGAAUUCACAUCUGUUGUGUUUCCCAAAUGUAUUUUGCUUGCAAUCUUUCAGCACUUUCAUUGUGAUCUUGUUGUGGCAGAUCAUGAUACUAUAGGCCUCUGGUUCAGAUCAGUAUUUUUCAGUAGCCAAAAAUAAUGGAAGAGUGUAAGGUUGUGACUAAAGCUGUUACUGACAAACAAAAAAUUCUUGGUAGAAGUGAUACUCUUCUUUUACUGUUGAUUCAAUAUGCAACUUCUGGCAAUUAGUUUCAUUUAGCUUUGCUUUCAUUUCUUCAUUUGUGAGAUGAAGCUUACAGAAGCUGUCUUUGGAUUUUAUGAGUAAUUCAAUUAUAAAAAUUUGCAAGUUGUAUUAUCUUAAUUAGAUCUUAAAUUGGAUGUUAGGGGUUAAAAACCCAACUAGUAUCCAUGAGGAUGCAAGGUCGAUCUCUGGUCUCACUCAGUGAGUUAAGGAUCCAGAGUUGCUGUGGCUGUGGUAUAGACCAACAGCUGCAGCUCCAACUUGACUCUUAGUCUGGGAACUUCCAUAUGCUGCAGGUGUGGCC
rnacentral:lncRNA from 1 species